rnacentral:rRNA from 1 species
AGUAGGGAAUAUUGCGCAAUGGGGGAAACCCUGACGCAGCGACGCCGCGUGAGUGAUGAAGGCCUUCGGGUUGUAAAGCUCUGUUGUACGGGAAAAAGUUCUGAUUGUACCGUACGAGAAAGGAUCGGCUAACUUCGUGCCAGCAGCCGCGGUAAGACGAGGGAUCCUAGCGUUGCUCGGAAUCAUUGGGCGUAAAGCGGGUGUAGGUGGCUUGAUAAGUCAGGUGUGAAAGCCCAGGGCUCAACCCUGGAAGUGCAUUUGAUACUGUUAAGCUUGAGUGUUGGAGAGGUUACUGGAAUUCCUGGUGUAGUGGUGAAAUACGUAGAUAUCAGGAGGAACAUCGGUGGCGAAGGCGGGUAACUGGCCAAACACUGACACUGAGACCCGAAAGCGUGGGGAUCAAACAGGAUUAGAUACCCUGGUAGUCCACGCCAUAAACGAUGGAUACUUGUUGUUGGAGGUAUUGACCCCUUCAGUGACGAAGCUAACGCGUUAAGUAUCCCGCCUGGGGAGUACGGUCGCAAGAUUAAAACUCAAAGAAAUUG